rnacentral:rRNA from 1 species
UAGGGAAUUUUCGUCAAUGGGCGCAAGCCUGAACGAGCGAUGCCGCGUGAGUGAAGAAGGCCUUGGUCGUAAAGCUCUGUUGCGGGGGAAAAAAGGCAGCAUCAGGAAAUGGGUGCUGACUGAUGGU